UACGUAGGUGGCGAGCGUUGUCCGGAUUUAUUGGGCGUAAAGAGCUCGUAGGCGGCUUGUCACGUCGGGUGUGAAAGCCCGGGGCUUAACCCCGGGUCUGCAUUCGAUACGGGCUAGCUAGAGUGUGGUAGGGGAGAUCGGAAUUCCUGGUGUAGCGGUGAAAUGCGCAGAUAUCAGGAGGAACACCGGUGGCGAAGGCGGAUCUCUGGGCCAUUACUGACGCUGAGGAGCGAAAGCGUGGGGAGCGAACAGG
rnacentral:rRNA from 1 species